rnacentral:rRNA from 1 species
AGCGAACGCUGGCGGCAGGCUUAACACAUGCAAGUCGAACGGGCACCUUCGGGUGUCAGUGGCAGACGGGUGAGUAACACGUGGGAACGUACCCUUCGGUUCGGAAUAACUCUGGGAAACUAGAGCUAAUACCGGAUACGCCCUUUUGGGGAAAGGUUACUGCCGAAGGAUCGGCCCGCGUCUGAUUAGCUAGUUGGUGGGGUAACGGCCUACCAAGGCGACGAUCAGUAGCUGGUCUGAGAGGAUGAUCAGCCACACUGGGACUGAGACACGGCCCAGACUCCUACGGGAGGCAGCAGUGGGGAAUAUUGGACAAUGGGCGCAAGCCUGAUCCAGCCAUGCCGCGUGAGUGAUGAAGGUCUUCGGAUCGUAAAGUCCUGUCGAGUGGGAAGAAAAUAGUGGGCGGCUAAUACCGCUCGCAUUCGACUGUACCACCAAA